UGACAUGCAGAGAAGAUACAAACUUUCCUGGCUUGCGGUAACCUGAGAGAUUUUCACUUUCCUCUUGCAGCCACGGAACCCCUCAGGAUGCCAGCACCUACCCUUUCUCAAUCCUGUGUGAUUCACACUGAUCCAGUCCCCUCACUCUGUCCACAUUGAUGAGUAACUUACUCAAUGUCCCACUUGUACACCUGGGUCUAUCUGUUUUCUCUUUUUCUUUUUUCUUUUGAGACGAGUUCUCACUCUGUGUCCCAGGCCUCCCAAAGUACUGGGAUUACAGGGGUGAGCCACCGUGCCCGGCCGGUAGGGCCUUUUUAGAGGGCAAAAUUAGCAACAUAUCGUUUUCCCAGCAGUUCCAUUUUUCGGAAGUUAAGCUACAGAUAAUAUGCUGGGUCUCAGGACGCACUGGGGGAUGUUAACUGCUGCCCUGUUUACAGCAAACACUGGAGACAAUCUGGCUGCUCAUAAUAGGCGAUGGAUAAAAACAUGAUGGUGAAGUCUGAUGGGACCAUGGAGCCUCAGCUCAUAGUGAGCCAGAAUUAAUCAGGCCCCGGCUUACCUGAUACAGAGGAGACACACCUGUGUUCCUUUGGCACAGACAUUCUGGAGUCCCAGUGCCCAGGAAAGAAGACGGGAGGCAGUAGCAGAGCCUGGGAGAGAUGGCCUGAGGAUGUUGUGAUGGAAGACUGUAUAUGAUCAUAUGCACUGCUGUCCAGUCUGCAGAGCCAUGUGGGGGCAAGAAGCAGAGGCAAGGAGCUGCCUGCAUGUGGGCUCUGCUUCUCUAUCCCUCACUCCGUCUCCUCCGCUGCAAAAAGAGGACAGCAAUAGCACCUGCUGCAGAGGGGUAUGUGAGAAUUAAAAGCUACUAAAGAGUAUCCCAAAAGUCCUAGAGCAGUUUUAAGUUUUAAUAACUGUGAAAGUACAAGUACUACAAACAUAUAAAAAAAGCCAGCUGAGUGCAGUGGCUCUAGCCUGUAAUCCCAGUA
rnacentral:lncRNA from 1 species